rnacentral:misc_RNA from 1 species
AAGUCGUAACAAGGUUUCCGUAGGUGAACCUGCGGAAGGAUCAUUAACAAAUUCCAUCUUUACCAUUACACCGUGAAUAGACCUAGGGGGAAGGGCAAGUGUGCUAGUAUUAAUACUAUUAGCGCGCCUGGCUGGAUCCCAAGGUAUAACAAAUACAUUGAGGGGAAAAGCAAACCGUUAGCUUGACUUUGGUCUAAGCGCGGCGCGAAUUCUAAUUAUACAACUUUUAACAAUGGAUCUCUUGGCUCUC